UGGGGCUAGAACUCAGGGCCCAGCAGGUCUGACAAUGCAGGUUUCCCCGCUCGCCUGUUGGGUUUUUGAAACGCCCUCAGCGGGGUUUUCCUCCUAAUUCUGGUUUGGAGGAGCCAUCUCUCUCCAUCCCGUCUGCCAGCGGGGUUUGCUUCACACACAGACGUGGGCAGAUGGCAUCGGGGACACAGGGAAACCUGACCUUAGAGGAAAUGGAAAAGUUGGAGAGACACUGAGCACUGAUACGAAAUAAUUCUCUUGCUGAAAUACACGAAAGGAGUCCCAGCAGCCAUAUUAGUAUUUCCACGUCCUGUGUCAGCCCCAAGUAGAGAGAACUUGGAAUGGGAGGGGAAAUGGCAGCCAUCAGGAAAUGAAAUGCUGGCCCAGAGAAUUCUAAGCAAGUCAAUCACCAGUCCAACUCUUCCGAAAACUUCCUUGUUUUGCCUUUUCAAACAUCAGGGGCGUGACUUAUAACAGCCAAAUUUUGCCAGCAUGCUGUGUCAUGGGUUCCAGUCCGUGGAGCUCCGUCAUACUCUGUUGGGCAUCCUGUGUCUUAUUCCUCUCUUUAGGUCCAGUUUCUACAUACCUUAUCUGUGUUAUCUCAGGCUUCAGAAGCUUCUCCGUAACGUGGGCUACUUUCCCCUCAUCACUGGGUAUUUAUUUAUUUAUUUUUACUGAAGCCUGAGCCCUGUAACGUUACCACACUGGCCACAGCUUCAGGAGAGAGAUCACUGCUCUCAAGAACUUACAGUCUAGUGAUGGAUACAAAGGUACAUGAAAAAAUAACUAGCAAUGGAAAACAAAGCAUGAAAUGCGAUGAAACGUGGUCAGGAUGCUAAGUGCUAUGACAUAUCACACUCGGAACCUCACUUUGCUCAUAUGAAAAGCUGGAGAGAAUCUUCCCAAGCUUAGCACAUCCUCAUAGGAUUUUGGUGAAAAUCAGAUGAGAUGGUAGGUAUGGAAGAUUUCUGUCAACUACAAGUCAAUUACGCCAAAAAAUUAAGAGGUCUUGUCAAAUCAUAAAAUUAAC
rnacentral:lncRNA from 10 species